UGGCGGCAUGGCCGAGUGGUAA
rnacentral:tRNA from 7 species